AGGACGAACGCUGGCGGCACGCCUAACACAUGCAAGUCGAACGGACGAGGAGGAAGCUUGCUUCUUCCAAGUUAGUGGCGGACGGGUGAGUAACACGUGAGCAACCUGCCUUUAAGAGGGGGAUAGCUUCUGGAAACGGAUGGUAAUACCCCAUAACAUAUACUGAUGGCAUCUUCGGUAUAUCAAAGAUUUAUCGCUUAGAGAUGGGCUCGCGUCUGAUUAGAUAGUUGGUGAGGUAACGGCUCACCAAGUCGACGAUCAGUAGCCGGACUGAGAGGUUGAACGGCCACAUUGGGACUGAGACACGGCCCAGACUCCUACGGGAGGCAGCAGUGGGGAAUAUUGCACAAUGGGGGAAACCCUGAUGCAGCGAUGCCGCGUGGAGGAAGAAGGUUUUCGGGUUGUAAACUUCUUUUACCAGGGACGAAGAACGUGACGGUACCUGGAGAAAAAGCAACGGCUAACUACGUG
rnacentral:rRNA from 1 species